UGGAGGGGGAAGAGGGAAAUCACAGUCUGCUCACUGAAAUAUGGCAAAAGGGGGGGAAAAUUAACUUUAAAAAUAAUUACAAAUUAUUUCUUGACCUCUAUGGAAUGAAUACAAACACUCUGGCACCUCUGGGAGGCCCCAGCAUGUAGCCUCUGCCAACUGUAACGAGUCCAGGAGCUCAUCUGUCCAGGAGGAGAGACUGGUUUGGGAGGUGACAUUUGAAUGAAAAGGACAAGUGAAGAGAGCCCUGAGAAGGCAAACGGGCCUGACAAAGAACUGCAGGUCUGCUUUCAGACAUCCUUUGAACACUUGGGAUCUUCAGGAGGCCCCAGUGGAGUUUUGUGGCCCUCACCUGAUCCCCCUGAGUGAAAAGCAGAGGCCACGACAUCAGAGACUCCAAGUUGCCAACUUGUCUCUUUUAUUAAUA